CGUAACCUUCAAUUCAUUCUUUCUACUUUACCUUCACAUGUCGGAGCUGGCCGACUCCAAGUGCCGUUGGCCAGACAGGUGAGCGUCUUGGAGCCGAGCAGCUGCAGCCCCGCGCUGCACACGUAACUGGCAUUGUGCAGUUACAGACAAACACAGACAUACCGACACACACUGGCUGGGUGCCGCUCCACGCUCUGUCUCCCUGGCAGGUCUGGAUAGAGUCUCCCUGCAGCAGAGAGAACAAGGACUGAAGCAUCGCUCUGUGAGUCUGCUCUCACUGUACCACUCAACUCAGAGGAGGGUCUAUCAGUGUAUCAGUGGAGGAGUGACUCAGCUCCUGUUUGCUCUGCAGCAGCACAUUCCUAUUGACCGCUGAGGAGAAAUCAUGUGACUUAGUGUAACUUGAUUGCUAGCCAUUAGCUCCUAGUUUCACAGGAGGAAAUAAAAGCCCUCUGCUGUAUCAGGGGGAAAUGAGAGGCCAAUGAGGAAGGAGGUCUUACACCUAUUACAUAUCAGGGUUUAAGCAAACAGGGGAAAGGAGAGACUGUGAAUCCUGAAGUCAAUGUUUUCACUGUACUGUAUAAACAUAUGAAGAGGUGAGGUCAUGUUUUCAUCUGCGUUCAUUGUUUGUUAGUUUGGAGGAUUACACAGGAACUCCAGGAUGGAAUAGCACUUAACAUGGCCGAGGGAUGUGGUCAGGGAGGAACUUCAGGAAUAUUUGAAUGGAUGUUGAUGAAAAAAGUCUAAUGUGUUCAGUGGACUGAUAUUUACGAGUGCCAUUUGGUACAGAUCCAAAUGAAAAUGUGGAUUCAGUGAAUUAAGAUGUGGUUUCAUCAGGGGACUGUUGGGCCUCGGCGGAGCUAAGUGCCCUCUGAGUGAUUAGGUUGGGUUUUUCCAGUACGACUGUCUGCAUCUUUCAAGGUGACAGAAUGUGUGGGAAAUUCUUUUACUUUUUGUGACGCCAGCAGCUAAAGAUAAAAAAUGCUAAAGAACAAAAGAAGACCUUGAGAGAAAAAUGUGGCCUG